rnacentral:rRNA from 1 species
UACAGGGGGUGCAAACGUUGCUCGGAAUUAUUGGGCGUAAAGCGCGCGUAGGCGGCCACUUAAGUCGGAUGUGAAAGCCCUUGGCUCAACUGAGGAAGUGCACCCGAAACUGAAUGGCUUGAGUACUAAAGAGGGUCGCGGAAUUCCCGGUGUAGAGGUGAAAUUCGUAGAUAUCGGGAGGAACACCGGUGGCGAAGGCGGCGACCUGGGUAGAUACUGACGCUGAGGCGCGAAAGCGUGGGUAGCAAACAGG